rnacentral:rRNA from 1 species
CUACGGGGUGCUGCAGUGGGGAAUAUUGGGCAAUGGGCGCAAGCCUGACCCAGCAACGCCACGUGAGGGAAGAAGGUUUUCGGAUUGUAAACCUCUGUCCUUGGGGACGAAGAAGUGACGGUACCCAAGGAGGAAGCUCCGGCUAACUACGUGCCAGCAGCCGCGGUAAUACGUAGGGAGCAAGCGUUGUCCGGAAUUACUGGGCGUAAAGGGUGCGUAGGCGGCAUAUUAAGUCAGGUGUGAAAUACUCGGGCUCAACCCGGGGGUUGCAUUUGAAACUGAUAUGCUUGAGUGUGAGAGAGGAAAGUGGAAUUCCUAGUGUAGCGGUGGAAUGCGUAGAUAUUAGGAGGAACACCAGUGGCGAAGGCGACUUUCUGGCUCAUAACUGACGCUGAGGCACGAAAGCGUGGGGAGCAAACAGGAUUAGAUACCCUGGUAGUC